CCAGACUCCUACGGGAGGCAGCAGUGGGGAAUAUUGCACAAUGGGCGAAAGCCUGAUGCAGCAACGCCGCGUGAAGGAAGAAGGGUUUCGGCUCGUAAACUUCUAUCAACAGGGACGAAAGAAAUGACGGUACCUGAAUAAGAAGCCCCGGCUAACUACGUGCCAGCAGCCGCGGGAAUACGUAGGGGGCAAGCGUUAUCCGGAUUCACUGGGUGUAAAGGGAGCGUAGACGGCGACGCAAGUCUGGAGUGAAAGCCCGGGGCCCGACCCCGGGACUGCUCUGGAAACUGCGUCGCUGGAGUACGGGAGGGGCAGGCGGAAUUCCUGGUGUAGCGGUGAAAUGCGUAGAUAUCAGGAGGAACACCGGCGGCGAAGGCGGCCUGCUGGACCGCGACUGACGUUGAGGCUCGAAAGCGUGGGGAGCGAACAGGAUUAGAUACCCCGGUAAAC
rnacentral:rRNA from 1 species